UCUAGUUGCCCUCUGUAGGCCCAAUUUCUCUGCUGCAAAGAAGGCUCCUGGUAUUUACAGCCAUUUAAAAGAAAGGCAAGGAAAUGUCCAUAAAGGAUUUUAAUGGAUUCCUAAUAACAUUAACUUAGCUCGAUACUCUCUGCUCCUCUUAGACUGAUUUUUAAAAGUUUUCCUAGAAUGUGAGCAGUUCCUCAGUUUACAGGUUAAAAGAAAGAGUUGCCCUCCCAGAGACAAGUUAGACUACCCUCUAAAGAGUGCUGUCAAACCAAUACUGUGCCAGGCCACAGGAGAGACAUCCUGAUGAAUGCUGGAACUUGGCUAUUGCUAUCAUGGUUUAUAAGCAUAACAGAUAGCCUAGACACUAUGGAUGGAAGCUUGGAAUAUCAUCGGAUAGAGUGGCACCAUCAGAGGAAUUCCUGGUAUUACCAAAUGAAGUAGGCAUGGGAACAGUUUUUGUGACAAAUAUUUUGGAUGUCUUCACUCUACCCCUCACCCACUGUAGGGAAGUGAAGGCAUGAGAAUUUGAACAGAAGAGACACCCUACUACCUGUACUUCCUACACAAGACCCAGUGACCACAGGCUCCCAACAAAUGAGCCAGGCCUCUGCUUAUUCUUCAACACGCAUAUCACAUCACCCUAGCAAGAAAUGGAUUUCCUCUGCAUUAUUGUUUAUCUGGAGAGAAUAACAGUUCACAAAGUCCAAUCAGA